rnacentral:rRNA from 1 species
GAACUGAAGAGUUUGAUCAUGGCUCAGAUUGAACGCUGGCGGCAGGCCUAACACAUGCAAGUCGAGCGGAUGAAGGGAGCUUGCUCCUGGAUUCAGCGGCGGACGGGUGAGUAAUGCCUAGGAAUCUGCCUGGUAGUGGGGGAUAACGUCCGGAAACGGGCGCUAAUACCGCAUACGUCCUGAGGGAGAAAGUGGGGGAUCUUCGGACCUCACGCUAUCAGAUGAGCCUAGGUCGGAUUAGCUAGUUGGUGGGGUAAAGGCCUACCAAGGCGACGAUCCGUAACUGGUCUGAGAGGAUGAUCAGUCACACUGGAACUGAGACACGGUCCAGACUCCUACGGGAGGCAGCAGUGGGGAAUAUUGGACAAUGGGCGAAAGCCUGAUCCAGCCAUGCCGCGUGUGUGAAGAAGGUCUUCGGAUUGUAAAGCACUUUAAGUUGGGAGGAAGGGCAGUAAGUUAAUACCUUGCUGUUUUGACGUUACCAACA